rnacentral:rRNA from 1 species
GAUGAACGCUGGCGGCGUGCCUAAUACAUGCAAGUCGAGCGAACGGACGAGAAGCUUGCUUCUCUGAUGUUAGCGGCGGACGGGUGAGUAACACGUGGAUAACCUACCUAUAAGACUGGGAUAACUUCGGGAAACCGGAGCUAAUACCGGAUGAUAUUUUGAACCGCAUGGUUCAAAAGUGAAAGACGGUCUUGCUGUCACUUAUAGAUGGAUCCGCGCUGCAUUAGCUAGUUGGUAAGGUAACGGCUUACCAAGGCAACGAUGCAUAGCCGACCUGAGAGGGUGAUGGGCCACACUAGAGCGGAGACACGGUCCAGACUCCUACGGGAGGCAGCAGUAGGGAAGCUUCCGCAAUGAGCGAAAGCCUGACGGAGCAACGCCGCGUGAGUGAUGAUGGUCUUCGGAUCGUAAAACUCUGUUAUUAGGGAAGAACAUAUGUGUAAGUAACUGUGCACAUCUUGACGGUACCUAAUCAGAAAGCCACGGCUAACUACGUG